CUCUGCCUCUGCCUCCCAAACGCUGGGAUAAAAGGCUUAUGCCACCACACUAUAUUCCCUGACCCCUUUUAAAAAGGGAUGAGAAGGAGCAAAGCAAGGAAGGAAAGGAAGAUCAGUUCUGAUAUGAUAUUCCUAAGUGCUGAAUGGAGAAGCGCUCUGUGCAUACUGCCUGUAUAACAUGUGGAGCCCCUUUCCUUACUCCCUUCUUGCGUUCUUAAUUUCUAGUCUUAAGAUCCUUUCAGAAACUUAUUUUUAAUAUCAGGGUCCUUUCUCAGUGACAGCCAAGGUUUAGUGACACCUCAUCCCUGGGCCAUUUGGUCUAUGUUAAUUUUGAUUGUGCUACUUUGCUCAGCCCGUGGGUCUGUUCCUCAGGCCUGAAGGGGUGCUGUGCCUCUGGAAGGGGAGAGAUGUGUGGGGGCAGGAUGCUUACACACUGUUGAGUCAGGGCCCUGGCUCACCCGCCUGCUCACUCUCUUGCUCCCUCACAUUCUGUGUCCCUGUAGGCUGUUUUGGAAGACCAGAGUCAGAUGAGGCAGAUGGAGCUGGAGAUCAGACCCUUGUUCCUCGUACCAGAUACCAACGGCUUCAUUGACCACCUGGCCAGUCUAGCUCGGCUGCUGGAGAGCAGGAAGUACAUCCUGGUGGUGCCCCUCAUUGGUCUGACCCAAGCAUUGAGAAGUCCCGCCUGGUGCAGAAGCACAAACAAGCGUCCCCUUUGAAGCCUGUUUAGUUUGGAAGCAGGAAAGCAGAUUUGGGAUAGAAUACCAGUUUUUCCUGUUUGAUGUUCUGUUUGCUGUACCAUACCACCCAUCCACCACUGCCACACAUUGUGUGGACCUUACAGCUUCAUGGUGCUAAAAGCAUGGGUGGGUGUGUGUGUGUGUGUGUGU
rnacentral:lncRNA from 1 species